rnacentral:rRNA from 1 species
UACGGAGGGUGCGAGCGUUGUCCGGAAUCACUGGGCGUAAAGAGCGCGCAGGCGGUCGAAUAAGUCGAAUGUGAAAGCCCCCGGCUUAACUGGGGAGGGUCAUUCGAUACUGCUCGACUUGAAGGCAGGAGAGGGUAGUGGAAUUCCCGGUGUAGUGGUGAAAUGCGUAGAUAUCGGGAGGAACACCAGUGGCGAAGGCGACUACCUGGCCUGUUCUUGACGCUGAGGCGCGAAAGCUGGGGGAGCAAACGGG